AUUUACAUAGUUUAAGAAGAGCGGUGGAAUUUCUCUCCACAGGUUCCGCAUAGGCGGAUGUGAAUU
rnacentral:tRNA from 1 species